rnacentral:rRNA from 1 species
AGCGAACGCUGGCGGCAGGCUUAACACAUGCAAGUCGAACGGGCGUAGCAAUACGUCAGUGGCAGACGGGUGAGUAACGCGUGGGAACGUACCUUUUGGUUCGGAACAACCCAGGGAAACUUGGGCUAAUACCGGAUAAGCCCUUACGGGGAAAGAUUUAUCGCCGAAAGAUCGGCCCGCGUCUGAUUAGCUAGUUGGUGUGGUAACGGCGCACCAAGGCGACGAUCAGUAGCUGGUCUGAGAGGAUGAUCAGCCACAUUGGGACUGAGACACGGCCCAAACUCCUACGGGAGGCAGCAGUGGGGGAAUAUUGGACAAUGGGCGCAAGCCUGAUCCAGCCAUGCCGCGUGAGUGAUGAAGGCCCUAGGGUUGUAAAGCUCUUUUGUGCGGGAAGAUAAUGACGGUACCGCAAGAAUAA